GACGAACGCUGGCGGCGUGCUUAACACAUGCAAGUCGAACGGAGCACCCCUGAUUGAGGUUUCGGCCAAAUGAUGGGAAUGCUUAGUGGCGGACUGGUGAGUAACGCGUGAGGAACCUGCCUUUCAGAGGGGGACAACAGUUGGAAACGACUGCUAAUACCGCAUGAUGUGUGACGGGGGCAUCCCUGACACACCAAAGAUUUUAUCGCUGAAAGAUGGCCUCGCGUCUGAUUAGCUGGUUGGUGAGGUAACGGCCCACCAAGGCGACGAUCAGUAGCCGGACUGAGAGGUUGGCCGGCCACAUUGGGACUGAGAUACGGCCCAGACUCCUACGGGAGGCAGCAGUGGGGAAUAUUGGGCAAUGGACGCAAGUCUGACCCAGCAACGCCGCGUGAAGGAAGAAGGCUUUCGGGUUGUAAACUUCUU
rnacentral:rRNA from 1 species